GUCCCUGUAGUGCAAUGGAUAGCACGUUGGACUUCUAAUACAAAAGUCGUGGGUUUUGAAUCCCACCUGGGAUG